rnacentral:lncRNA from 1 species
GAUGGCCUUGGCGACCAUGGUUUGGAUUUUAAAGGACAUGGGAGUCAAUGUGGUUAUGUUUAUUGGUUUAACAUAUUUAAUUUAUCUUGCAAGCGUAUUGGUGUAGUGAUACCAUGGAGUAUAUUACUUAAUUAAUGACUCUUGGGUUACAGGUUGAUUACAUGUACAAAUGUUUUAAUUUGGGUUUAAAAGGGGUUGUGUAGCUUGCCAUGAUGGUGAAGGUCUCGGGGGAAGGAGGGAUCAAUACUAGAAAUCACAUUUGUCGGUGUGGUGGUCUUUAUAACUGUGUGCAUAGUUCACACUAUAUAUAUUUUGGAAUGGCUGGGGUUGUGGAUUCCCUGGUCCUUCCUCAAAUUUUCCUAGUCUCUAUAGCUAACACGCACUGGGACCUUUUUAGCAGUGGAAGCUGAACUUAUAUAGCUCGUGGGUGCCCUUAGGAUGAAUAGAGCCACACAAUCCAGGUUAAUGGUUUUAUACCUCUCAUGUUCAUGACCCUUACCCUAUCCCAACAUCUUAUAUAUAUAUAUAUAUGAAUGCGUGCAUGUAGUUUUGAUUGAUUUUAGCUAUGAAAUUAUUUUAUCACUUUGCCUGAGUUACAUGCUAGUGCUUUUACCACUGACCGUCCUUGGAUGCUACAUUAUUUCAUGAUGCAUGGUUUGAAGAUAAUUUUGUUACUCCUGUGUAGCGUUAUAUGGUUGAGCACAUUCAUUGAGUUGCUGUAAAGUGGUGCGCCUCCAUUCUUUGGAAGCUUUAUCAUUUCAUUGGUCUUUACUUAUUGACUCAGUACUUUUGGAUUAUUUUUAGUCGUAGUCGAGGGCAUGUCCCGACUUAGAUGUUAUUUACGUUUAGAGGCUAUUGUGGACACAUAUGGGUUGGUUGGUUAUUGAUUGACUCUUAGUUUUCAUAGAGUUAUUUAUUCAUCUUCUUAUUAUUAUUUCAUUGGCUUCUAUAUUUGUUAUUUUUAUUAUUAUUGUGCUCUUUUGGUUAAGCUAUGGGGGUGGUCUUCAAUCCAAGAUGGAAUUGAGAUACCCAUCACGGCCAGACUCUGGUUUGGGUUGUGACAAGUAUAAUGACCCAAAUAGUAGUUAUGUUACAAAACUAUUCGAAGAAUGCUUCAAUAAAGAAAUUUCAUUUCAUUCCUCUUAGGAAUUAAUUUUUUCUAAAAAAGUCAUGGAAUAAAUUAAAUUUGGGCUAGAUUUACAAUUUAGUCCAGGAAUACUGCCUCUGAAUUACUAUAGCGACACAUGUGGCACUGUAGUGUGUUAUAGUGAUACUUUUAUUCCUCAAAUGAUAGAGAGGUAGUGGACUGCAUGAGUAAUUAAAAAUCCCUCCCAACUGAGGCCUCUUAUUUUGUUUUCUCCCCCCAAAAUGCCCCAAAUGAACUUUUGGUGCUUUGAACAAUAAGAUUUUAGAGGCUAAGCUCUAUGAGGGAAAUUCUUAAGCAUUAUUGAUGGGAUUUCCAGUGUUGGUAAAGUUUAAGGCAUUGAAGGAUGAUAUUUCACUCUCUGUAGCAUCAGAACUCAGUCAUGAGGUAGGUUAUUAUUAAAUUAUAGUAGACUUGGGCUAGAUAUAUGUAAUAGGGUAGUCACAUUGGGAGAUUUCAUGUUUAAGCCUACAUGCAUGGAGUUUGGAUGGUAUGGAUAAUAAGUUAAACUUAGAAUAAGUAGUUGAUGAUUUCUAUUUGUUGUCUAUUGAUUUAUUAAACUGUG